GUAAGGAAUCUUCCGCAAUGGACGAAAGUCUGACGGAGCAACACCGCGUGAUUGAUGAAGCCCUUCGGGGUGUAAAGAUCUUUUCUGAGAGAAGAAUUAUGACGGUAUCUUAGGAAUAAGCACCGGCUAACUCUGUGCCAGCAGCCGCGGUAAUACAGAGGGUGCAAGCGUUAUCCGGAAUCAUUGGGCGUAAAGGGUUCGUAGGUGGAAUGUUAAGUUGGGUGUUAAAUUUUGCAGCUCAACUGCAAAAAUGUGCCCAAAACUGGCAAUCUAGAGUGCUACAGAGGUACGUGGAAUUCUGUAUGUAGGGGUUAAAUCCGUAGAUAUACAGAGGAACACCAAAAGCGAAGGCAGCGUACUGGGUAGCAACUGACACUCAAGAACGAAAGCGUGGGGAGCGAACGGGAUUAGAUACCCCAGUAGUCC
rnacentral:rRNA from 1 species